CCAUAUGUGAAGAGGUUGUACAAACCAAUACCACUUAGCAAGGUAAACCACAGCCAUAUGAUUGGGGCAAAUGAAUAUCCCACUUUGUCAGUUCCAAAUUGUUGAAAGCAGAAUAGGAUGACCAGAAUUAUCACAGAAAUUCCCACCACAGCGUCUGAAUAUUAUUCAAUCUUUUUUACGUCAAUACGUGUAUUUAUGCAGGCAAAAAAUGGUUGAAGAAGGAAGAGUUAUACCUGAGAUAGAUGGUAGUUGCCCAUAUACUAGCAAAAGAGGGGCUGAGGAGGGGUGGGAGCACUUACCUGGUGGAGACUGUGCCGAUUCUACGAGGGCGGCGGUGGAAACUGACCGGUUUGGUCGGCAAGGGGAUAUAGUGGAUUACGUGCAUUUAAUCCGUUGUAUAUAGUGGAUUACUUCAAAAGACGCGGUAAGAACGGGUAGAUAUCACUUGGAGGAGUAGUACUUUGCAUUACAGGAACCGAGGCUAUGUUUGCUGAUCUGGGUCACUUCAGUGUUCGAACAGUUCAAGAAUGCAAUUUGGGGUUAAAUAGAAGAAAAAAGAAAUAAUUGGGCUAGAUUGAAGAAAGAAGCAAAGAAGGAGGGCCAAAGCAGAAUUUUUCCAAGAAUAAUUAGCUGAAAUUGUUGGCUUAGUGGGAGAUUAUUUUGGGAUAUUUUUUAUAUUAUGGAAUAUUUUCCUUGAUUUUCUAUACUAGUUGGGUCUUAAUUUAGCAAGGCCACUAGUAUAAAUAGAGGCUACAUUUGUUCAUUUUAAUCAUCAAUUGAAAUAUCAAGCAUUCAUCUUUCAAUACAUUCUCUCUUUUCUCACAAAUUUAUUUGUUGU